UACGAGGGGUGCGAGCGUUGCUCGGAAUUAUUGGGCGUAAAGGGUAGGUAGGUGGUUUCGUUUGUCUGGGGUGAAAGCCUUGAGCUUAACUCAAGAAGUGCCCCGGAAACGGCGAAACUCGAGUACUGGAGAGGGUCGUGGAAUUCCCGGUGUAGCGGUGAAAUGCGUAGAGAUCGGGAGGAACACCGAUGGCGAAGGCAGCUCGCUGGGACGGUACUGACGCUGAGGCGCGAAAGCGUGGGGAGCAAACAGG
rnacentral:rRNA from 1 species